AUGGCGGGCGUGCAGACCAUGGCUCGCUAUGGAAGGCCCUUCCCUUCCCUCUCUCUGUUCGAGCCAUGCUCAGGCAGUCUUUUCUCUUCUCUUCCCGCAAAAAAAGUCUUUUCUCUUCAUGAUCUGAACAUGUUGGAGGCCAUUAUUUCUCCACUGCCGGAGUCUAGCCUCCCUCCGUGGGAUGCCAUGGAGAUGAAACUCCCCUCGACAAAAGAAUUCAAGGGCAUGUGGGAGAGAGAGGAGGUCCAUGGAGAAGAAGCUCUGCUCCAACCCUCCCUGCCUCCUAAUACAAGAUGUCUUUUUUGUGUGUGCUUGUAUUGCAGCAGCCAUGUGCGUAUCAAAAAAGGGUCCAGUUUGCAGCAGUCACAUGAUACGGACAUGUUUUUUCAUCACAAUUGGAUUUUUGGAUUUACUAGGCUAAUUGGUGGUGGUUGCUGUUGUUGUUGUUUUGGCAGCAGCAGCAGCAGCAGGCAGAGUGACGAUGUUGGCUAUGUGCAGGCCAUGGAGGCUUUGAUGAGCACGAGGGGAAGGCCGCUGCUUCAACCCCGUUAA
rnacentral:rRNA from 1 species